GCUGGAUUCGCUAGUAAUCGCGCAUCAGCCAUGGCGCGGUGAAUACGUUCCCGGGCCUUGUACACACCGCCCGUCAAGCCAUGAAAGCCGGGGGUACCUGAAGUACGUAACCGCAAGGAGCGUCCUAGGGUAAAACUGGUAAUUGGGGCUAAGUCGUAACAAGGUACC
rnacentral:rRNA from 1 species